CCUACGGGAGGCAGCAGUGGGGAAUAUUGGACAAUGGGGGGAACCCGUGAUCCAGCCAUGCCGCGUGUGUGAAGAAGGCCUUAUGGUUGUAAAGCACUUUAAGCGAGGAGGAGGCUCUUCUAGUUAAUACCUAGGAUGAGUGGACGUUACUCGCAGAAUAAGCACCGGCUAACUCUGUGCCAGCAGCCGCGGUAAUACAGAGGGUGCGAGCGUUAAUCGGAUUUACUGGGCGUAAAGCGUGCGUAGGCGGCUUUUUAAAGUCGGAUGUGAAAUCCCCGAGCUUAACUUGGGAAUUG
rnacentral:rRNA from 1 species